rnacentral:ncRNA from 1 species
GGCUAAGGUUCAAGAACUGGUUUCUCAGGGGUCAGCCUGAGAAGGAAACGGGGAAAGAACGGUGAAAUUCCGUCGCUGUCCCGCAGCUGUAAAGCCCUUGCUUGCUCUAGCAAGGGUCAGUCAGAACGCCCGCCAGUCUUUAAACCGACGA